AUACGUAGGGGGCGAGCGUUGUCCGGAAUGAUUGGGCGUAAAGGGCGCGUAGGCGGCCCGGUAAGUCUGGAGUGAAAGUCCUGCUUUUAAGGUGGGAAUUGCUUUGGAUACUGUCGGGCUUGAGUGCAGGAGAGGUAAGUGGAAUUCCCAGUGUAGCGGUGAAAUGCGUAGAGACUGGGAGGAACACCAGUGGCGAAGGGGACUUACUGGACUGUAACUGACGCUGAGGCGCGAAAGUGUGGGGAGCAAACAGGAUUAGAUACCCUGGUAGUCCACACUGUAAACGAUGAAUGCUAGGUGUAGGGGGUAUCGACCCCUUCUGUGCCGCAGUUAACACAAUAAGCAUUCCGCCUGGGGAGUACGGCCGCAAGGUUGAAACUCAAAUGAAUUGACGGGG
rnacentral:rRNA from 1 species